ACUGAUGGCGAAUAACCUGAGAACUCCGGAAAUGGACGAUAACGAGCCAUCGACAUUUAACGAGAUAAAUUUUUUUUUUUGAAAAAAAUCAAAAUUUUACGCUGGGGCCAGGCGUGACGGAAUCGAAAAAUUUAUCUCGUUAAAUGUCAACGGCUCGUUAUCAUCUAUUUCCGUAGUUCUCGGGUUGUUCGCCAUUAGU
rnacentral:pre_miRNA from 1 species